CUUCUCUUAUUCUAGUUUUGAAACAAAAGUACAUUUUCAACCCAGGCUGGCCUCAAACACUCCAUAGUUAUGAAUAACCUUGAACUCCUGGUUUUCCUCAAGCCUACGUGUGUGGCCACACCCAGCUGUUGUCUACCCUCACCCCUUCCUUUUUAAUCCAGAAAAGAAGCUUUGGGAAUUACAAAUGACCAUCGAUUCCUUCUGAAAGUGAGCCUGCAGGUUCCAGCGAGGAUCUGAACCAACGGAAUUCCAGAAGCACACCGCGAUCCACCAAGUGAGAACUGUGGUAGGCGGUACCAUUCCACAUGAGAACAGCACAUGAAAUUCAUCCUGGCUCCGCUGUGCCUACCCACCUGCCUGUUAACAGGAACAAUGAGCAGCUCUUCUUUGGUCGAUGCUAAAAAUAAAGGGUCCUACCAAUG
rnacentral:lncRNA from 1 species